rnacentral:rRNA from 1 species
GAUGAACGCUGGCGGCGUGCCUAAUACAUGCAAGUCGAGCGAACAGACGAGGAGCUCGCUGCUCUGUCGUUAGGGGCGGACGGGUGAGUAACACGUGGAUACCCCACAUAAAAGAAUAGGAUAAUUUCGGGAAACCGGAGCUAAUACCGGAUAAUAUAUUGAACCGCAUGGAUCAAUAGUGAAAGACGGCUAUGCUGUCACUAAUAGAUGGAUCCGCGGCGCAUUAGCUAGUUGGUAAGGUAACGGCUUACCAAGGCAACGAUGCGUAGCCGACCUGAGAGGGUGAUCGGCCACACUGGAACUGAGACACGGCCCAGACUCCUACGGGAGGCAGCAGUAGGGAAUCCUCCGCAAUGGGCGAAAGCCUGACGGAGCAACGCCGCGUGAGUGAUGAAGGUCUUCGGAUCGUAAAACUCUGUUAUUAGUGAAGAACAAAUGUGUAAGUAACUAUGCACGUCUUGACGGUACCUAAUCAGAAAGCCACGGCUAACUACGUG